CUCAUAUUUAAGUUAGAUGACUGAAGAUGAAAGGUUAUACCGAGGUCACGAAAUUAUAAACAAGGUUUUGUGAUGAAAAUAAGUUGUAUUCAAAAUAUCAGACUUUGAUUUAUUUCCAGUCAUUUUGUUUCUAAAUACACAUUAAGGUAGUAAAGAGAUGAGAGGGGUUGAUAUAUGAUGCUCCCCAUCAAAAUCACAUUAUUUUUUUUUCACCCGUGAUCAACCUCUAGAUAGGGUACACCUGAACACUGUGAAGAAAAUUAUGGCGAAAUUCAUAAUUUCAUAGUUUUUAAUUUAUUUCCUAUAAAAAAGUAGUUAUUCUAUAACAAUGAGUUGGUCACAUGAUUUCAAAGUAUAAAAAACAAAGCAAAUGCCCAAAUAAAUUAUCCUUAUAUUUUUUUCUCUUAAGGACCCCUACCACUCUUACAUUGUCAAAGUAAGUUGUAUUUUUCUUUUUCCUAGUAAAAAUUACGGUAUUGUAAAAUAAUAAUAUGAUAUAUAUUGUUUUAUAAUGUCAAGUCGGUGCAUUUGCGGAGAGGUUCGUGAUGUUCAGCGCCAACUCGCGCAAUGCAUCCAUGGUUUGGAUGAAAUACCAUGCCCGUAAGUAAAAAGAAUAAAGAAUUCUUAAGAUUUGAAAUUUUUAAGUUCAAGUUGAGUACCUGUCUUCAUUUUUUUAAAGACUGCAAAAUUAUGAUAACUCCUUGACCGUCAACCCUGGGAGUCCAAAUUCUACCUUAACGUAAGAGUAAUUUUAAUUUAAACAUAACUCUAAAUGUGAGAAAAUCACUAUUUUUAUGAUUUUUAAAAAGGUUGUCGGUCAGUCUUAAUUUUUGUAAACCUUUUAUAUUUCUUUUUUAAAGUAUGGAGAAGGGUGAAAUUCUCGUCACGUCGUAAGUGGUAUUUAAAAUACUAGUAUAUGAAACACGUAAUCUGUUUACACAGUUAAUUUAAAAAAAUAAUUAUCUCUUUAGUUUACGUAAUUUUAUUUCUUUACUUUUUUCUUUUGUACAUUUUUUUUAAUAUCGUGACUGUAAUGUAAGAUGCUAUGAAUAUUAAAAAUAUAUUCCCCUCUAUCUUUUAUAUUUUAAAAUACCCUUUAAUCUAAACUACUUAUCAUUUUCCCUUACGAAUAGUACACCUAAACACGGAAGCGGAGACGUGAGGAGAAAAACACUCCAACCACAUCGUAAGUGUUGAUGAAAAGUGAAUAAAGACUUACAAAUUUGUAGAAAACUAAUUUUAACGGUAAGAUUACACAUUUUUCUUUUGUACUCCUUUCACAUGGCCGUGAAAUAAAAUGUUUAAUUAUUAUUAAUUCUAAAAAGAACAUUAAUAUAUAGAUAUAAAUAGAUAGAUAUAUUAUACAUUUUUCGUUUAGUGAUUAUAAACAUAGAUGUAUUAUUCAUAUAUAAUCUUAUUUUUAGCACCACAACCCCUUCGGUCGCUAUUGGGUAUGUAAAUAUUUUUUUUUUUUUGAGAAUUAUAAUUUCAAGUGGAGUAUUAGUGAAUAUAUCCUCUUAUUUUAUUAUUAUUUUUUUUUUUUAGCUUACUCCCGAAUGCGCCUGUCAGACCCACGUUAGUAUGAGAGCAGGUAAUCUCAGUUUUUCUUCAUAUUAUUUUUUGACAGAACAAGGGUGGAGGUCAUAACAAUACGCAAGUUCCGAGUUACCCAAAAGUUAUUUCCCUUUGUCGAACUCUUUCGCAUUUUAUGACGUAUGGUGGGUACACAAUGUAUACAUUAUAUCGUAGACUGGCAUUGUACAUAACGAUUAAUGUAAUAAAAGCGUAACUUUUGUUUAUAUCAAUCACUGGUAUGCAUAUUCUGGCCAUAUCAAGCAUAAUUUGUUUGAAUAAGAUCAUCAAAUUGGCUAUUGAAUCAUUAUUCGUUUCCUCUUCUACAUGAGUGACGCUUUUAUCAAAGAUAGAUGGCAAUUAACAAUAUUUGUUUGAGCAAUUUUGUUAUCCAAUACUCAUAAACUCACUAAAGUUGCCUUUUCCCUGAAAUAGGAUGGUCUCAGAAACUCUGGAUAUCAUCUUAUAAGAAAUAAUACAACGAUAGUAAUUAGCAAAUGUACCCACUGUCAUCAUAUUUUACGUCAUAAUUUACGGAAGAGUUCGACAAAGGGAAAUAAAUCUUGGGGAACUCGGAACUUCCGUAUUCAUGCAGAGUAAGUUGUUUUUUUUUUUUUAUAUUUAUUUACUUAUUUAUUGAUAAAUUUCAUCAGUAUUUUCCCCUAUUUUUUUCUCUCCUGUUAUAUAAAAGUUAUUUUAAUAGUAAUUAUUUAUGAUCAUUUUUGUUUUAAAUUUCAGAUGUGAGCAACCGAAUAUCCCGGUGAAGAAGUAAUCUUCUACCCCCGUUACUCCCUACUACCCGAGGAGCCUGUCACCGAGAGAGAAAAAAAACAUCGCGGGGGACUAACAUCGUGGACUUUUAAUUUCUGAAAUAAUGAAAUAAUAAAUGAAG